rnacentral:rRNA from 1 species
GACGAACGCUGGCGGCGUGCUUAACACAUGCAAGUCGAACGGAAAGGCCCUGCUUGCAGGGUACUCGAGUGGCGAACGGGUGAGUAACACGUGGGUGAUCUGCCCUGCACUUCGGGAUAAGCCUGGGAAACUGGGUCUAAUACCGGAUAGGAGCCAUUUUUAGUGUGAUGGUUGGAAAGUUUUUUCGGUGUAGGAUUAGCUCGCGGCCUAUCAGCUUGUUGGUGGGGUAAUGGCCUACCAAGGCGGCGACGGGUAGCCGGCCUGAGAGGGUGGACGGCCACAUUGGGACUGAGGUACGGCCCAGACUCCUACGGGAGGCAGCAGUGGGGAAUAUUGCACAAUGGGCGAAAGCCUGAUGCAGCGACGCCGCGUGGGGGAUGACGGCCUUCGGGUUGUAAACUCCUUUCGCUAGGGACGAAGCUUUUUGUGACGGUACCUAGAUAAGAAGCACCGGCUAACUACGUG